UUUUAGAUCUUUCUUUAUUGACGGUUGCCUGCUGUUGGAAAUUCGUGAGAGUGAACCUGUUGGGCAGGAAGGAAGACACGUGAUAUUGUGAUCCUUGUCUCUUUGUAUCAAAUGCCUCACAUUGCCUUCCCAGUGAGACCAGCCUUUUUUCAGGCACUUCCACAGCCUGACCAGAAUCCCACCAGUUGUACUCUGGAGAAAGCACGCAAGUCGGCCGGCUUUUGUUGCUACACCAGGGAGAUUGGCGUGAGGCUUUUUGGAUUUUCAGAAGAUCCUGUUCACCGCGAAGAAUGAGCAAAACAAGCCGAACCCGACAAUCAAGAGACCACUGGACAGAUCACAAAACAAGGUCACUCGGGCUGACGACCAGCGGCUUGUCGCACACCAUGGUUGCCGGCCGAUAAAGGCGUGCCCGCCUAUAGAGCGCUAUCCUCGGUUUGGGCCCGGGGAGCCCUCCGCUAUCAUCUCCGGUUCUCGAUUGUGUCGAGACUUCGACCACCCUCCUCCUUCUUCAUGUGCCCACCUAGAGGGCGCUAUAUUCGGUUUGGGCCGGGCAGCCACGCUCUCCGACGUCGACAGGUUUGUUCACCGAGAAUGCGCCAUUUUAGGCGUUCAUUCCCCUCUGCAUCCCUGGCGACGAGCAAUGCCUGCAUGCCUGGGCCGCAGCAGAUAGACAAGCCGAAAAUUAUUCACCGCCAGGGGCUGGCCGAUCGCUGAAGACAAUCACCCCCGCUGCCGUGUGUGACAUGAGUCUAGGUAGUUUUGUGUAAUUUUUCAGUUUUCGAAAGGCGAGGAAGAAUCCGCUCGGUUGGGGUUAGCAUGUCGCCGAGCUCUUACACCUCCUGUUUUGUUUACGGUCUUUCCUCUGUCUCCGAAGCCGGGGAAGGGAAAUGACAAAAGCCGGACUAA